AGACCCGAAACCCGGUGAUCUAGCCAUGGGCAGGUUGAAGGUUGGGUAACACUAACUGGAGGACCGAACCGACUAAUGUUGAAAAAUUAGCGGAUGACCUGUGGCUGGGGGUGAAAGGCCAAUCAAACCGGGAGAUAGCUGGUUCUCCCCGAAAGCUAUUUAGGUAGCGCCUCGUGAACUCAUCUCCGGGGGUAGAGCACUGUUUCGGCUAGGGGGCCAUCCCGGCUUACCAACCCGAUGCAAACUGCGAAUACCGGAGAAUGUUAUCACGGGAGACACACGGCGGGUGCUAACGUCCGUCGUGAAGAGGGAAACAACCCAGACCGCCAGCUAAGGUCCCAAAGUCAUGGUUAAGUGGGAAACGAUGUGGGAAGGCCCAGACAGCCAGGAUGUUGGCUUAGAAGCAGCCAUCAUUUAAAGAAAGCGUAAUAGCUCACUGGUCGAGUCGGCCUGCGCGGAAGAUGUAACGGGGCUAAACCAUGCACCGAAGCUGCGGCAGCGACACUUUAGUGUUGUUGGGUAGGGGAGCGUUCUGUAAGCCGU
rnacentral:rRNA from 1 species